UUGAGAGUCAUUAUAAUUUGCAAAGCAAUACGCACAUUCAUUCGUUUUCGUGUUCAUACAGAUCUAUAGCAAUAGUUCCUGAGUUCUUUCAUUUUCAUGGCAGAAAACCUCGUUCACGGAUGCUAGCAAUGGUGUCAAAGAGAGUUUGUUCAUAAGGUAUGAAUCCUCCAAUUAGCUCUGUAGUUUUCUUGUUCCCAAUCUUCUCGGGGGGGAUUCCAUCGUAUCUUCCGGCAUGAGGAAUUCCAACGCUCGUUUCAGGAACACCCCUACCCAUACAAAUCUCAUUACGCUUUGAACAAAACUGAACAAAAAGGAAUGAAAGUAAACUCACUCGUGGGCACAGCAGCGAAGCUGGGGGAACUUUUCCUUGACCGAUUUCAGGACGUCUCUGUGGGAAACGCUCAGUGCAACGCAAAAGUAGCGCCCCAAAGCAGCCUCGUUCUCGACUGCCAAAAUGUGAGCUUUUGCAACAUCUCUCACGUCCAUGAGAGAAAUGUAAGAAUUUGGCGAAGGAUUCCGGGAACCUGGAUUAUCACAAACAAGAUAAAUGUCUGUACGAGAAAACCAAGGAAACAACAGUCAAACCUUCUACAACUUCCUUGAGAUAUUCGCUGCUAGUGUUAAGGGUUUGUUGCAAGAGAGGACCAAACACGUAAACCGGGCACACCACAAUAAGUUUGAGCCCUUUCUCUUUGGCAAACUUCCAUGCCGUCUUCUCUGCCUCGGUCUUGGCAACCACGUACCACAGCUGCAAAACGAAGUCCAACGUACAAGAGUCAAGAGUCAAAUUAAGUCAAAAGCCAGUCCCAAUUACUUGCCUCGUUUUUGCGGCAGUGGUCAACGUUCGUCCAGCAGCGCUCAUCAACCACCUUGUCCUCGGGACGAUCCGGGUCAAAUAUGACCGCUGCGCCGGAGGAGGUCAUCACCACUCGCUUGAUCUUCUCGUAGUCGAGAGCAUCGGCUUUGAACAGCUUGAGCCUCUCCCCAGCUCCUGGGAGCUGCUUGAGAUUAUUCCACACUUCGCAUUGUUACCUGAUGUUCUAUGGAUCAAAGGUGAAAGGAAGUCUAUGCUUACUUGGGUCGCGCACGGUGCCGUGAACAGUAUAGCCUUUCUCCAGAAGCUGCUUUACAAUCCAAGAGGCAAUGAAACCCCCGGCUCCAGUCACACACACGACCUUCUUGCUUGCUUCCAUUGCCAUGCUCUUUGCUCUAUUUUGCUACUUAUUUUCUCUAUAGCUUGCGCUAUUUAUACACUCUAUGAAGUCUUCAGGAAUUUCCGCUUGCCUUCUGAGGAAGCAUCCUGGAGCACUGUGGCGUCGCAAAUGGAGCACUGUGGCGCCGUACUGUUUAACUUAAUUGGUAGAAUUUAAUGUUUUAUAGAUGGGGACGCUAUUAAUCGUGCUAUUUAACUUAUUUAUUGUGACUGAAUCAGAUGUCUCGGCUAGGUGAGGAUCGUGUUGAAGUUCCAACCCAAGAGGCAUCAGGAGGGGCAACAGGCAGUGAAGCCGAGGUCGGGGACAGAAGGCGUGGUGGUAACAGACCUGAAGGAGCUUAGUGAACGAAUGACUCAUGAGAUUAUCAAAACAGCUUAUUAUAAUCUGUCGGUCUCAUGCUCCACAAGACCCCGUAAACAGUUAAUGAAUGAGUUAAUAAUCUAUUGCACCUUUUGCAGCUGCUACACUAAUUUCAGGUGAGAAUUCAGUGUUAUGAAAUGCAAAAUGCGCUUUGAAGUUGCUGAUGGUACACAGAGGCGACAGUAGCAGCAAGGGAGGGUUCAAUUUUCAAUCUUCUCCUGCAUUUUUACUUCCCUCCAAAGACUAUCAAGCUCGGAACACGUCGCACUCCAGUAGGGCAUCCAACUCACUUGGACAAUUUAGCAAAAUAUAAGACCUGCGUUCUCUUUGAGUAAGCAAGAACUUAAACAAUACGCACAUUCAUUCAUUUUCGUUUUCAUACAGAUCUAUAGCAAUAGUCCUUGAGUUCUUUCAUUUUCAUGGCAGAAAACCUCGGUCACGGAUGCUAGCAAUGAUGUCAAAGAGAGUUUGUUCAUAAGGUAUGAAUCCUCCAAUUAGCUCUGUAGUUUUCUUGUUCCCAAUCUUCUCGGGGGGGAUUCCAUCGUAUCUUCCGGCAUGAGGAACUCCAAAGCUCGUUUCAGGAACCCCCCUACCCAUACAAAUCUCAUUACGCUUUGAACAAAACUGAACAAAAAGAAAUGAAAGUACACUCACUCUUGGGCGGAGCAGCGAAGCUCGGGGAACUUUUCCUUGACCGAUUUCAGGACGUCUCUGUGGGAAACGCUCAGUGCAACGCAAAAGUAGCGCCCCGAAGCAGCCUCGUUCUCGACUGCCAAAAUGUGAGCUUUUGCAACAUCUCUCACGUCUACGAGAGGAAUGUAAGAACUUGGUGAAGGAUUCCGGGAACCUAGAUCAUCUCAAACAAGAGAAAUGUCUGUACGAGAAGACCAACGAAACCACAGUCAAACCUUCUACAACUUCUUUGAGGUAUUCGCUGCUACUGUUGAGGGUUUGUUGCAAGAGAGGACCAAACACGUAAACCGGGCACACCACGAGAAGUUUGAGCCCUUUCUCUUCGGCAAACUUCCAUGCCGUCUUCUCCGACUCCGUCUUGGCAACCAAGUACCACCGCUGCAAAACGAAGUGAGAGUCAAGAGUCGAAUUAAGUCAAAAGCCAGUCCCAUUUACUUGCCUCGUUUUUGCGGCAGUGGUCAACGUUCGUCCAGCAGCUCUCAUCGACCACCUUGUCCUCGGGACGAUCCGGGUCAAUCAUGACCGCUGCGCCGGAGGAGGUCAUCACCACUCGCUUGAUCUUCUCCUCGCUGCAAGCACGCAUCACAUUCUCCGUUCCAGUGAUUGCCGGGACCAACACAUCCUGGCAGAAAACAAAACUCGAAAUUUCUCAUCGCCCACGAGCAAAACCACCUAGACUCUCACAUCUGGGGUGUCAAUCUUCCAGAAGAAGGGGCAGGCUGUGUGGAAGACGGCCUCACAGCCCCGGACUGCCGGGACAAUGGAAUCGUAGUCGAGAACAUCGGCUUUGAACAGCUUGAGCCUCUCCCCAGCUCCUGGGAGCUGCUUGAGAUGUCCACACUUCGCAUUGUUACCUGGGUCAUUCAGAUUUCGGCUAUGGAUCAAAGGUAAAAGGGAGAAGUCUAUGCUUACUUGGGUCGCGCACGGUGCCGUGAACAGUAUAGCCUUUCUCCAAAAGCUGCUUUACAAUCCAAGAGGCAAUGAAACCCCCGGCUCCAGUCACACACACGACCUUCUUGCUUGCUUCCAUUGCCGUGCUCUUUGCUCUAAUUUGCUACUUAUUUGCUCUAGCUUGUGGUGCUGUGUAUUUAUACACUCUAUUAAGUCUUCAUGGAAACAUCUUAUACACUCUAUUAAGUCUUCAAGGAAGCAUCCUGGAGCACAGUGGCUAGACUACUGUUUAUCUUAAUUGGUAAAAUCUAAUUUUUUAUAGAUAGAUGGCGCUGUGCCGGUCUCUAAGCUACUUAUUUAUUGUGGCUGAAUCAAAUGUUUGCAUCAUGUUGGUGGAGUUUUUGUAAAGCAGGUGAGGACCACCAACCCAAGAGGCAACAGACAGGUCGGUGAAGCGGAGGGCGGGGACAGAAGGCAUGGUGGUAGAAGCCCUGGAAAAGCUUAGCGAACGAAUGGCUCAUGAGAUCAUCAAAACACCCUAAUGAAUGAGUUAAUAAGUUUGCUAUACUAAUUUCAGGUGAGAAUUCAGUGUUAUGCAAUGCAAAAUGCACUUUGAAGUUGCUGGCGGUACACGGAGGCGACAGUAGCAGCAAGGGAGGGUUCAAUUUUCGAUCUCCUCUUGCAUUUUUACAUUCCUCCAAAGACUAUCAAGCUCGCUCUCCAGUUCCCACUCACUUGCACAAUUGAGCAAAAUAUAAAACCUGCGUUCUCUUAAGCAAGAACUUUAGAGAAAGCAGGUUAAGUGCGUCGACUCCACUCUUAAAGUGGAGUUGAGUCUUUAUCUUUUGCAAACCAAUACACACAUUCAUUCAUUUUCGUUUUCAUACGGAUCUAUAGCAAUAGUCCUUGAGUUCUUUCAUUUUCAUGACAGAAAACCUCGUUCACGGAUGCUAUCAAUGGUGUCGAAGAGAGUUCGUUCAUAAGGUAUGAAUCCUCCAAUUAGCUCUGUAGUUUUCUUGUUCCCAAUCUUCUCGGGGGGGUUUCAUCGUAUCUUCCGGCAUGACCCUACCCAUACAAAUCUCAUAACGCUUUGAACAAACUGAACAAAAAGGAAUGGAAGUACACUCACUCUUGGAUCAUCACAAAAGAUAAAUGUUUGUACGAGAAAACCAACGAAACCACAGUCAAACCUUC
rnacentral:lncRNA from 1 species